rnacentral:rRNA from 1 species
AUACGAAAGGUGCAAGCGUUGUUCGGCUUUACUGGGCGUAAAGAGAUCGUAGGUGGUUUGUUAAGUUGGAUGUGAAAUCCCGGGGCUCAACCUCGGAACUGCAUCCAAAACUGGCAGACUUGAGUUCGGGAGGGGUAAGCGGAAUUCCGUGUGUAGCAGUGAAAUGCGUAGAUAUACGGAGGAACACCUGAGGCGAAGGCGGCUUACUGGACCGAUACUGACACUGAGGAUCGAAAGCGUGGGUAGCAAACAGGAUUAGAAACCCUAGUAGUCC